rnacentral:rRNA from 1 species
UACGGGGGGGCUAGCGUUGUUCGGAAUUACUGGGCGUAAAGCGCACGUAGGCGGCUUUGCAAGUUAGAGGUGAAAGCCCGGGGCUCAACUCCGGAAUUGCCUUUAAAACUGCAUCGCUAGAAUUGUGGAGAGGUAAGUGGAAUUCCGAGUGUAGAGGUGAAAUUCGUAGAUAUUCGGAAGAACACCAGUGGCGAAGGCGACUUACUGGACACAUAUUGACGCUGAGGUGCGAAAGCGUGGGGAGCAAACAGG